CCCAACUGGAAACUCAGUGGAGGAAGGAGGAGUUUCUGCAGAUUGCUGGCUUCCCUGAAGUGAUCGGUGGCAUUGAUGGAACGCACGUAAUGAUUGUGGCUCCUAGAGAGUAUAAGGUAGAGUUUGUCAACAGGAAGAGAUACUACAGCAUCAACGUGCAGUUUGUGUUUGAUGCUUGAUACCACAUUAUUGAUGUGGUUGCAAAGUGGCCGGGAUCGGUUCACGAUGCAAGAAUACUUGUUCAAAGUGGACUCUGCACGAUAUUUGACAACGGCAUCGUCCCAGCUGGGUGUCACUUACAGGAGAUAGUGACUAUCCCAGCAAGAAGUGGCUACUGACUCCAUACCUCAGACCACAGCCUGGAGCACAGUCUUCUUAUAACAGGGCCCACAAGAAAACCCGCAGCGUUGUUGAGAGGCAUCGGGCAGCUGAAGCGACAUUUUCACAUGCUACACAGUGAGAUCCGAGUUGGUCCUCCAUCCAAGGUCUGCCAAAUUGUAGAGGUUUGUGCACUGCUGCACAACAUCUGCAAAGCAAGAAACAUCAUUCUUCCUGAGGAAGAAGAACAUCUUGCUGCAGCCGAGGAUGGAGGCAACGAGGAGCGACUCCUAGCACAGAAAGUUCAAAGUCGCCAUGAAGUAAUCCUUUACAGGGAUGAAUUUGUUGUGCUUCACUUCAACAUUGAUGAGUGAUGAGACACCAGUGUCAUGACUGCUGAGAUUGGUGUUAUUCUCAUGUGGAUGAUCUCCUCCUCAUCCACAAACACCAGUGAUGUACCAGGCAAGUCUGGCCCCUGUUGGUGCUGCAAGUGGUGUGGCAGGUGCCUCCUCCUCAACACCCACUGCCUCGGUCACCACUUCUCUCUGUUGGGCUGCCUCUGCCACUUCCCCAGCAUCAUCUGCUGCCUGCACACUGCUGGCAUCAUUAGUUCUAACUUCAGAAACUAAGCUGAUAAUGUUUUUGGUUUUAUUGCUAAGGACAAAAGUAACAGAAACCAGUAAAUCUAGCUAAGGGUA